UACGUAGGUGGCGAGCGUUGUCCGGAUUUACUGGGCGUAAAGGGAGCGUAGGCGGACUUUUAAGUGAGAUGUGAAAUACCCAGGCUCAACUUGGGUGCUGCAUUUCAAACUGGAAGUCUAGAGUGCAGGAGAGGAGAAUGGAAUUCCUAGUGUAGCGGUGAAAUGCGUAGAGAUUAGGAAGAACACCAGUGGCGAAGGCGAUUCUCUGGACUGUAACUGACGCUGAGGCUCGAAAGCCGUGGGGAGCAAACAGG
rnacentral:rRNA from 1 species